GACGGAAGGUGCAAGCGUUGCUCGGAAUUACUGGGCGUAAAGCGUGCGUAGACGGUUAUUUAAGUCGGGUGUGAAAGCCCCGGGCUCAACCUGGGAAUUGCAUUCGAGACUGAAUAGCUAGGGUACGGUAGAGGGAAGCGGAAUUUCCGGUGUAGCGGUGAAAUGCGUAGAUAUCGGAAGGAACAUCAGUGGCGAAAGCGGCUUCCUGGACCAGUACCGACGUUCAGGCACGAAAGCGUGGGGAGCAAACAGG
rnacentral:rRNA from 1 species